CUUUAAAAAUCUGGAUCAAGCUGAAAAUUGAAACGACACACAGCUCAUGUGUGUUCGAGUCUCUCAAAUUUUCGCAAGUCGAUGAUGAAUCGAAAGAAACAUCUUCGGGUUGUGAGGUUAAGCGACUAAGCGUACACGGUGGAUGCCCUGGCAGUCAGAGGCGAUGAAGGACGCGCAAGCCUGAUGCAGCCAUGCCGCGUGUAUGAAGAAGGCCUUCGGGUUGUAAAGUACUUUCAGCGGGGAGGAAGGCGAUAAGGUUAAUAACCUUGUCGAUUGACGUUACCCGCAGAAGAAGCACCGGCUAACUCCGUGCCAGCAGCCGCGGUAAUACGGAGGGUGCAAGCGUU
rnacentral:rRNA from 1 species